UCUAAUGGUCAUAUGCCACCUUAAAUAUUACCAGUCUCAUGUGAUCUUGGAAGCCAAGCAUGGUCUGGCCAAGUUUACCAUGAGAG
ensembl:rRNA 5S_rRNA 5S ribosomal RNA